GUCUUCUGGACUAUGAGGAUGGUAGAGAUGUUCCCUCUCAGAGAUCUGAAAGAGGAAGAGGAUUCCGUCAUUUGUAUUCAACAGAAAGUGACACCUCAUAUGAUGAUCAAGAGGGAUCCAAAGGAGA